GGCAGCGAGGCCGAGCGGUCUAAGGUGCUGGUUUGAGACACCACUCUCCUCAAAGACGUGGGUUCGAUUUCCAGCGCUUCCA